CGGAAGUGUAGCCGAGUGGUUUAAGGCAGCGGUCUUGAAAACCGCCGUGGGUGCAAGCUCACCGUGGGUUCUUAUCUCAACCGCACCUGG
rnacentral:tRNA from 1 species